rnacentral:ncRNA from 2 species
AGGUCGAAAGUCAUACAAGGCUUUCGGUUAAAUGCAAGGGAACGCGGUGAAAAUCCGCGACGGUCGCGCCGCUGUGAGCGUCCGACACGGCCCGCAAGGGUUGUGAGUCCGUCAGACAUUAUCCCACUAUUUCUGUUUAGAAUGGGAAGGGGUCUGAUGGUAGGAUGCGAGUCAGAAAACCUGCCUGGAGUUGAAUAUAGUU